GGCGAGGAAGAGGAGGAGAACGGUGAGGAUGACAGCGUGGAGGGUGAUGCUACAGUCGGCUCCGUACCUCGGCCACCUGUGCGCCGGGGAGUCAUCAGAUCGUGGAGCCGGGGGUUCGAGGGUUAUCGGGCUCGACAGUACCGAAAGAAAUGCAAGUAUGGAGACGGGGAUUUUUUGACAAAUUAUUGUUUCCAUGGUGAAGAAGACACUGUCACAGAUCAAAAUCUCAUAACUGGUGGGUGUGGCUUUUUUUUUUUUUUUUCAAAUGCUGCAAAUAAAAUUAUCUGUGCCGCA